AGAAAACAGAAUGAAAAGGGUAAAAAAGUCGAAGAGGCAGAGCCUGAAGCAUUUGUGGAAAAACUACUGGAUCGAAUUACAGCAAAAGGGAAGGUGGAGCAUUUCCUGAAGUUUAAGGGACGUCAGAUGUUGACAGUACUUGGGAACCCGCAGAAAAUUUAGAUUGUCCAGAGUUAAUUGAAACAUUCCUUAAUUCUAAAAAACCUGGUAAAAAAAAAUUACAAAAAGAAAGAAAGUCUUUAUCUGACAAUGAAUCUAAUGACAGCAAAUCAAAGAAAAGAGAUGCUGCCGACAAACCAAGAGGCUUCACCAGAGAUCUUGAUCCUGAAAGAAUAAUUGGUGCCACAGGCAGCAGUGGAGAAUGGAUGUUUCUCCUGAAAUGGGAAUAUUCACAUCAGGCCGACUUGCUGCUGGCAAAAGCGGCAAAUAUGAAGUGUCUUGAAAUUGUAAUUGUUUUUUACAAAGAGAGACUAAGUUGGCAUUCUUGUCCAGAUGAUGAAGC
rnacentral:lncRNA from 1 species